UGUUAGUGAAUGACUUGUAUAAACUGAAACUGCAAAUUGUGAACACUGGAAAGCACCAUUGUGACAUAGAGUAAACAUCUUAGUAAUAUAUUAAAAUGAAUGUAAAUGGAGGUUAAAAUUACAUUACUGUGAAAACUCAUCUUCCAACUCUAAGUUAAGCUGUGGAGAUUUGUAUUAGUAGGUAACUGUUCAGAGCUUUGAAAACACUGCACAUUUCUGUACAAGCCAGAGUUAUCAUUUCUUUGUAACUUAUUCAGCUUGGCAAUUGCUUUUGAUUUGGUUGGUUGAUAACAUGAUAUAAUACAUUUAACUAAGAAGAAUCAUUUCUACACACUAUUUUUAAAAAUCAUCUAGAACUGAAAUCUACAGUUAAACUACCUGUGCUGAAAUUUGGGGAAGUUUAGGUUCUUUUUUUAAAAAGUAUUAAUAAUCAUUGACUAUAUCUAUGAUAAAGUGCUUAUUUUGGUUUACUUAGAUAAUGCUGCAGUUGGUGGAAAUGAUAAACAUUUAAAGUGUUAACACUCUGUGAAUGCAUUGGAUUUAAGAGAAUAAACAUUUUAUAAAAU